rnacentral:rRNA from 1 species
AAACAACUCUCGACAACGGAUAUCUAGGCUCUUGCAUCGAUGAAGAACGUAGCGAAAUGCGAUACUUGGUGUGAAUUGCAGAAUCCCGUGAACCAUCGAGUCUUUGAACGCAAGUUGCGCCUGAAGCCAUUAGGUUGAAGGCACGUCUGCUUGGGUGUCA